rnacentral:rRNA from 1 species
UGGGGAAUAUUGGACAAUGGACCAAGAGUCUGAUCCAGCAAUUCUGUGUGCACGAUGACGUUUUUCGGAAUGUAAAGUGCUUUCAGUUGGGAAGAAAAAAAUGACGGUACCAACAGAAGAAGUGACGGCUAAAUACGUGCCAGCAGCCGCGGUAAUACGUAUGUCACAAGCGUUAUCCGGAUUUAUUGGGCGUAAAGCGCGUCUAGGUGGUUAUGUAAGUCUGAUGUGAAAAUGCAGGGCUCAACUCUGUAUUGCGUUGGAAACUGUGUAACUAGAGUACUGGAGAGGUAAGCGGAACUACAAGUGUAGAGGUGAAAUUCGUAGAUAUUUGUAGGAAUGCCGAUGGGGAAGCCAGCUUACUGGACAGAUACUGACGCUGAAGCGCGAAAGCGUGGGUAGCAAACA